rnacentral:rRNA from 1 species
UACGUAGGGUGCGAGCGUUGUCCGGAUUUAUUGGGCGUAAAGAGCUCGUAGGCGGCUCAUCGCGCCAACCGUGAAAACCAGCAGCUCAACUGUUGGCUUGCGGUUGAUACGGGUGGGCUGGAGUUCGGUAGGGGAGACUGGAAUUCCUGGUGUAGCGGUGAAAUGCGCAGAUAUCCGGAGGAACACCGGUGGCGAAGGCGGCUUCCUGGACCGACACUGACGCUGAGGCGCGAAAGCUAGGGGAGCAAACGGG